rnacentral:rRNA from 1 species
CACGUAGGGCGCGAGCGUUGUCCGGAAUUAUUGGGCGUAAAGAGCUCGUAGGCGGCCUGUUGCGUCCGCUGUGAAAGCCCCGGGGCUUAACCCCGGGUCGGCAGUGGAUACGGGCAGGCUAGAGGUAGGUAGGGGAGAAUGGAAUUCCCGGUGUAGCGGUGAAAUGCGCAGAUAUCGGGAGGAACACCGGUGGCGAAGGCGGUUCUCUGGGCCUUACCUGACGCUGAGGAGCGAAAGCGUGGGGAGCGAACAGG